rnacentral:rRNA from 1 species
CAGCAGCCACGGUAAUACGAAGGGUGCAAGCGUUAAUCGGAAUUACUGGGCGUAAAGCGUGCGUAGGCGGCUUUGUAAGUUAGAGGUGAAAGCCUGGUGCUCAACACCAGAACUGCCUUUAAGACUGCAUCGCUUGAACGUCGGAGAGGUGAGUGGAAUUCCGAGUGUAGAGGUGAAAUUCGUAGAUAUUCGGAAGAACACCAGUGGCGAAGGCGGCUCACUGGACGACUGUUGACGCUGAGGUACGAAAGCGUGGGGAGCAAACAGGAUUAGAUACCCGUGUAGUCCCUGUCUCUUAUAC